ACUACCAUUUUUUCAAAAUUUUUUUUUUUUAGGAAUAAAAGGCAACGCGCGUCACUUAAGAUCGCGAAAGUGAAACUCAAUAUUUUAAGGAUAACAGGAGUAAAAACACUUGUCGAUGUGGCGAACUCAGAGGAGGAAUUCAGGAACACCACGGUUGAAGAGUUGAAAAGAAUCUUUUUAAAAUACGACGACGACUUAAGAAAAACGCAACUCUUAAGACUGCUCUUCGCAGGUCGUCAACUGGAGGAUUGUGAUACUCUUGGGAAACAUGGCAUUACACACAGAGCUACUAUUUUAGUCAUUUUUCGUCUACUUGGUGGAGGUCCACUUCCACCUGAAGAUGAAGAUAAAAGAAUACCCAGGACUGAAUCAAUGGAAAGAUUAGCUUCAAUGCAGCAGACUGAGCCAGAACUCAACACAUCAUGUCUGAUUCUGUAGUUCAGUUCAGCCUCAUAUAAAUCCAUACACUGUGGGCUCAUAAGUGUAAUAUCAUUUACAAUUACUACCAUAAAAUACAUACUGUAUUCUCUUCUGGUUUCAGCCUCUUAGAGUAAAAUAGUUCAUAACACCUUGUACAAAUAUGAAAAAUAUAAACAGUCACAAUGAACUGCUCACCUGUACCCAAAAACACCAUUUACAGUUAAAGAGUCAUUAGUUAACAGAAUAAUAACCCGUCCAUAAAGAACACAGAUUCACUCUGAACAUUUACUAGCAUUUCUCUUGUUAAUUAUAAAUUCUCUUGUGUUACAACAUUUGUAACUUUUGCUGAAGAGGCUGAAAUCAGAACAAAAUACAUGAUAUUGAAUUUCAAGGUAGUACAUUUGAACAAAAUAUGAACAACAGUUUUUAAGGCUCUGUUAAUAGUCUUAAAACUGACCCUUUAUUCUGUCACCAUAAAAUAAAGUGCCUCAUGGGUAUUUAAUGAUAAAGUGUUUAUCUGUAUAGUCAGGGCAGGUUUAGGGAGAGCUAGAAUCUAUCAUUGUUAGCACUUAGCAUAUCACUGAAAUACUGCUAUUUUCACUCUGUGUAAAACGCCCAUCAUAUUUCGGGUAAUAUGAUCAGACUAGUUUUAGAUUACUCUUGACCUAACUUGUUUAUCAAAUUGACUUAAACAACAUAAUCUUGUACCAUUUUGAAAUAAAAAUACAAAGAGAAAGCAAAUACAUUCCAUGUGUUGUUGUUAACAGCAUUAAGUGCAUUAAACAUUGUAUUAGAUCCCAAGUCAAGGUUUCACAAGUUAAAGUAAAUCUAUUAGGUGACAGAGGAUCAAAAGUUGUGAGUUCAUGCAUUUUAAUGUGUUUGAAAGAAAAAAACCUUCCAAAAGACAUAUCAAUACAUGUUUAAAUAACCUAAAGAGUAAUAAUGCAAAUAAAAGUGAAUGUGUUCAUCAGACGUUGAUGCAGUGUUGAGACACUUCUUAACCCUGAACUGAUUUGAUCUGAGAGAGUCCAGUGACUGAUCUCUGUGUCAGUGUGCACUAAACUGAACUGAGUGUAUGGUAGCAGCAGGCUAUUAUACUUACAAGACGAUAGGAAUUAGGGAGAAUCAAUAAUUAGGGACCAUUUAUUGCUAUUGUGUAAAUUAUGUGUAAUCCAUAAAAAAAGAAACCAUAAUCUGAUUAUUAAAUAUUAAAAGGUCAUUUAAUCUAAUUACAAAUACUAUUUUUUUCUGAUUACAUAAUCCAGAUUACAUGUAAUCAGUUAAUACUGUAUUUCAAUCUUUUGCUAACAUUUAUGAUAUGCACUUUUAUAUUUUAACUUUUUGUUGUUGUUGCUUUUCCCUUUCCUUGUUCUUUGAUGCCUGUAGAUAGUUUUACAGCAUUUUCCUUCCCUUUUUCUGACUUCUAUUUGCUGUAACAUCAAUAACCUCAAAACUAGAGAGAACAGAGAGCACAGAAAUAGGCCUAAAUAUCACUAAACAAUAUUUUGUAGUGCCAAGAUUGUCUAAAUAUUAUGCAUGAUAUAAUUUUUUUUUAAAGUCUGUUUUGGUUUUUCAAUCGAAUUUUCUUUUUCCAAAUUGAAAUGUUAUAAAAUGACUGAUAACGUGACGUUCGGCCGAAAGGCGGGGCCACGCAGUCACGUGACCUUGCGUCUCCAGGAAGUUUUCGUCGCAGCUGAUUAAUAUUCAUGAGCGCGCUUCCGCCAGAGCGUGAUUGAUCUUCAUGGCUGCUCUUUCAGUCAGAAAAACAGCGAUAUCUUCGAGUUUUGUUCGUCUGCACGCUGUUAGUCUUCUGCUCACUGCUCUACAUCUUUAAUCAGCUCGUGUCGUCUCUGGAGCGCGCGGAUCAUCGGGAGCGAGCGCCGCGGACACGCGCAGCGGACACAGGCCUGAGUGAACGCGCGCAGGAUGACAGGUAAACAAACAAUAACACACACAAGAUGUACAAAAUCAACCUCACAACAUCAUAUACAAACAUCUGUGCAAAGAUCUUCUCGACGACACAAAACUGAACUUCUAUACACCGGACUCAUGAUGUGACCGCUUUAAACUAGCUUUAAUGACUGGACAGGUGUUAUAAAUAAUCGAAAUCUUUACCAGUGCUGCGUAUGUUAGUAAUUGAAUGCGGCUGAUACUCAUAUAAGAAAGUUGUUUUAAUAUAACGGUUGUUUGAUGGAUUUCUAGUCAUUUAAGCCUACUAAUGUACUCGGGCUGAAGCUGCUAACAUCGAAUUAAUAUUCAUAAGCUUCCUUGUUAAGGCCCUUUAAUAGAAGCCGUUAAUUAAGUGAUAAAUGCU
rnacentral:lncRNA from 1 species